GAUGAACGCUGGCGGCGUGCCUAAUACAUGCCAGUCGAGCGAACAGACGAGGAGCUUGCUCCUCUGACGUUAGCGGCGGACGGGUGAGUAACACGUGGAUAACCUACCUAUAAGACUGGGAUAACUUCGGGAAACCGGAGCUAAUACCGGAUAACAUGUUGAACCGCAUGGUUCAACAGUGAAAGACGGUCUUGCUGUCGCUUAUAGAUGGAUCCGCGCCGCAUUAGCUAGUUGGUAAGGUAACGGCUUACCAAGGCAACGAUGCGUAGCCGACCUGAGAGGGUGAUCGGCCACACUGGAACUGAGACACGGUCCAGACUCCUACGGGAGGCAGCAGUAGGGAAUCUUCCGCAAUGGGCGAAAGCCUGACGGAGCAACGCCGCGUGAGUGAAGAAGGUCUUCGGAUCGUAAAACUCUGUUAUUAGGGAAGAACAAAUGUGUAAGUAACUAUGCACGUCUUGACGGUACCUAAUCAGAAAGCCACGGCUAACUACGUG
rnacentral:rRNA from 1 species